rnacentral:rRNA from 1 species
AUUGAACGCUGGCGGCAUGCCUUACACAUGCAAGUCGAACGGCAGCACGGGUGCUUGCACCUGGUGGCGAGUGGCGAACGGGUGAGUAAUACAUCGGAACAUGUCCUGUAGUGGGGGAUAGCCCGGCGAAAGCCGGAUUAAUACCGCAUACGAUCUACGGAUGAAAGCGGGGGACCUUCGGGCCUCGCGCUAUAGGGAUGGCCGAUGGCUGAUUAGCUAGUUGGUGGGGUAAAGGCCUACCAAGGCGACGAUCAGUAGAUGGUCUGAGAGGACGACCAGCCACACUGGGACUGAGACACGGCCCAGACUCCUACGGGAGGCAGCAGUGGGGAAUUUUGGACAAUGGGCGAAAGCCUGAUCCAGCAAUGCCGCGUGUGUGAAGAAGGCCUUCGGGUUGUAAAGCACUUUUGUCCGGAAAGAAAUCCUUGGCUCUAAUACAGUCGGGGGAUGACGGUACCGGAAGAAUAAGCACCGGCUAACUACGUG